UUUAAUUGAAGAGUUUGAUCAUGGCUCAGAUUGAACGCUGGCGGCAGGCCUAACACAUGCAAGUCGAACGGUAACAGGAAGCAGC
rnacentral:rRNA from 1 species